UACGUAGGGCGCAAGCGUUGUCCGGAAUUAUUGGGCGUAAAGAGCUCGUAGGCGGUUUGUCGCGUCUGCUGUGAAAACCUAAGGCUCAACCUUGGGCUUGCAGUGGGUACGGGCAGACUAGAGUGCGGUAGGGGUGACUGGAAUUCCUGGUGUAGCGGUGGAAUGCGCAGAUAUCAGGAGGAACACCGGUGGCGAAGGCGGGUCUCUGGGCCGUAACUGACGCUGGAGGAAGCGAAAGCCGUGGGAGCGAACAGG
rnacentral:rRNA from 1 species